rnacentral:rRNA from 1 species
GACGAACCGUGCAAACGUUAUUCGGAAUCACUGGGCAUAAAGGGCGCGUAGGCGGCUUGACAAGUCAGGGGUGAAAUCCGGCAGCUUAACUGUCGCAGUGCCUUUGAUACUGUCGAGCUCGAGGGAGGUAGGAGUCUGUGGAACUUCCGGUGGAGCGGUGAAAUGCGUUGAUAUCGGAAGGAACGCCGGUGGCGAAAGCGACGGACUGGAUCUCUUCUGACGCUGAGGCGCGAAAGCUAGGGGAGCAAACAGG